ensembl:lncRNA
UUUUUGUGCCCUUGGGACGCGCGGGGCUCCCUGCACGCCGGCUCUUUGCUCCUCGGAGAAACGGGGAGAAGCCGUGCUCGGUCUCCCCCGGGCUCUCGCUCUGCUCUCGGGCCUCCGCCGCCAGGAUCAGGCCCUGCUCGGCCCCCGGCUGCGCUCCCGACGCCCGCUUCCAGCCCCGCAGCGGCGGCGGGGUCCCGGCGCCCAGCCCCGGCUCCGCUAGGGACCGGCGCUGCGGGAAGGGUGGGAAAUUUCGGCUCCAAAAUAAACCGGGGCAGGAAUGCCAGCUAUUUCCCUCGGAAUAAUGCGGCGCAACUGGCCGGGGAUCUGUAUUUAUUUGCUCGCUGCGUUCAGGAGAAAGCGGCCGUUUGCAGCUCGCGGGGAGUCCCUGCGUCCUCAGAGCGAAAAGAAAAGAAAUUAAAAAAAGAAAUGCACUAGAGAAAAAGAAAAAUAAUAACAACAGCUCGGGGAUGCUGCUGGUCAGCGGCAAGGGCAGAAACGUCUCUGCGGGAAUCGAGCCCCAAAGCCGCGGGGGCCGUGGCUGAGCCCCCGCCGCAGUUUCCUUCGUUUCGUUUCGGUUGGGAAAAGCGGGGCGAAGCCGUCGGGCUCGCCCGUGCCGCAGCCGCGCUCCUGGCCGUUUCAAGGCUCUAUUUAAUUGGAAUUUCUUCUUAAAAAAUAAUCAGCGUUAAAAGAAACGCUCGCCGACCGCCCGUUCCGGUCUCUUCGUGGCAUUCGAAUAAACGUGGAAACGGUGAAAGACCCGAGGCGCUGCCGAAAUCCGCGGGGAUUUACCCCGGGAGCGCACUGACGCCGGAGGAGCUUCGCCAAAACCUGCCCGUAGACGUGUUGCGCGUGCGAGUGCGUUCAGACACAACCGAUUCACCCGUUUUUCGACCCGAUUUCUCCCCGCAGAGGCUUUAGGUCAGCUCCCGGCGGUGCCGGGCUCUCGCCCCCCGGGCGGCGGCGGCCCGAGGCCGCGGUGAGGGGCGCCGGGUCCCGCGGGACCCCCCACCCCCCACCCCGGGCAGCAGGGCUGCGGGCAGGUGCUCCCACCCCGGGGCUUUCCAGCAGAACCGGAGGCAGCUUUCCGCAGCCUCCCCGCGGAGGUUGUGGUGGUUAGACCCUGUGUGCGUGUUGCGGGACGAGCAGGGCACCGGGCCGGGCUGCUGCCACCCGUGGGGACACGUUCACGCGUGGGUACAGCUUGCCUGUAAGAAUUUCACUGGCAUGGAAAAUCAGAGGUUCCACAGAGCUGACGUUGCCUGCUGUCCUCUAACAGAGCCAUUGUACAGGGAUGCUUCAGCCUCAGCCGUUCCUCCAGCCACUGACAAGUCCACAACAGCUACAAAAAUCACCCCACUUCCUUCAGUAUCUACUGGGAACCAAACGCCGCCAAUUUGUGCCCCCCAAAGAUGGGUAACUUACCACGGGCUUCCUAAAAGUGACCUUCAUUUGCAUCAUUUUUUACCGUGCAUUGUUAAAAAAUCCUAAUUGUUUGAAUUGCAUUUUCCUUCCAGGCUGAUUUAACAGAAAGUUUUGGAGCAGGCAGGGAGUCCUCAGGUGGAUGAGGGCAGGGGCACUGGGCACGGGCUGCUGGGAGUGCACCAGGAGAGCCAAAACCACCUCUGCAGAUGGGCAGACAGAGCUCUGCAGGUUUCUUUGACGCAGGGCACUCCGAGAGCUUCAGCUUUGCCCUGGCCCUGUGGGACAAGGACGUCCAGCCCAGGGACUCAGAUUUUUUUUGGGGGGGGUGAGGAUCCUGGGAAGUCUCCAGGAGUUUCGCUGAGCAGGCAGGAGCCGGGAGUGACUCAGGAUCCGGCCAUGUGCGCAGGCUGGGGGCCGCCUCUUGUGUCUACAAGUUCCCGUGCGUGUAGGUGCUCGUGGGGCUGAGGCUGGAGGGCACGGCGCGCCACCGGCCACGUUGGCCAUGCCGAAACGCCCUGCAGGUAUCAUUCAACACAAGUGAGAGUGGAAAUCUUCCGUGCGCUGAAAAUGGGAACUAUUGCUUUGAAUAAACCGUGGCUCAUGUGUUCUGAGCUUCUGGGC